GAUGAACGCUAGCGGGAGGCCUAACACAUGCAAGCCGAGCGGUAUUUGCUCUUCGGAACAGAGAGAGCGGCGCACGGGUUCGGAACACGUCUUCAACCUGCCUUUAUCUGGGGGAUAGCCUUUCGAAAGGCAGAUUAAUACCCCAUAAUAAAUUGUUUGGCCUCAUUUGUUAUUGAAAACUCCGGUGGCUAGAUAUGGGCACUCGCAAGAAUAGAUAGUUGGUGGGGUAACUGCUCACCAAGUAAAUGAUCCUUAGGGGGCCCGAAAGGGUGAUCCCCCACACGAGUACUGGGACACGCACCAGGCGCCUACGGGAGGCAGCAGUGAGGAAUGUUGGGCAGUGGGUUGGAGUCUGAUCCAGCCAGCGCGAGUGUAAGACGGCGACGCUAUGUGUUGUAAACUUCUUUUGGAUUGGGAUAAACCUACUCUCGUGGAUGUAGAUGAAAGUACUAUAAGAAUAAGCACCGGCUAACUCCGUG
rnacentral:rRNA from 1 species